GCGAGUAAGACCCUGCCCUAGUGGCUCGGUCAGUCCCAUCAUAUACACCUUUAUUCGUGAACUCGUGGUUCAGCUGGGCGAUGAAAGCUUUGGCGACUAGCCGUCCGUCGGUUCCGCUCUUUAUACCCUUUAUGUGAAGUCAAUGGAAAUUAUGAUAAUCUAAUA
rnacentral:misc_RNA from 1 species